UACAGAGGGUGCAAGCGUUAAUCGGAAUUACUGGGCGUAAAGCGUGCGUAGACGGUUACAUAAGUCGGGUGUGAAAGCCCCGGGCUCAACCUGGGAAUGGCAAUGGAUACUGGCAGGCUAGAGUGCGGUAGAGGGUAGUGGAAUUCCCGGUGUAGCGGUGAAAUGCGUAGAGAUCGGGAGGAACACCAGUGGCGAAGGCGGCUACCUGGACCAGCACUGACACUGAGGCACGAAAGCGUGGGGAGCAAACAGG
rnacentral:rRNA from 1 species